rnacentral:rRNA from 1 species
GAACGCUAGCGACAGGCUAACACAUGCAAGUCGAGGGGUAACAGGGUAGCAAUACCGCUGACGACCGGCGCACGGGUGAGUAACGCGUAUGCAACCUGCCUAUAACUGGGGAAUAGCUCCCUGAAAGGGGAAUUAACACCGCAUAACACUAUUGAUUCGCAUGGAUUAGUAGUUAAAUGUAGCGAUACAGGUUAUAGAUGGGCAUGCGUGACAUUAGCUAGUUGGUGAGGUAACGGCUCACCAAGGCUACGAUGUCUAGGGGUUCUGCGAGGAAGGUCCCCCCACACUGGUACUGAGACACGGACCAGACUCCUACGGGAGGCAGCAGUGAGGAAUAUUGGUCAAUGGGCGCAAGCCUGAACCAGCCAUGUCGCGUGCAGGAAGAACUGCCCUAUGGGUUGUAAACUGCUUUUAUAGUAGAAGAAACACAUCUACGUGUAGAUGUCUGCCAGUAUACUAUGAAUAAGCAUCGGCUAACUCCGUGCCAGCCGCGGC